rnacentral:lncRNA from 1 species
CCCCGCGGCUGUCGCUGACGGCCACCGGCUGCGCUGGACUGAGAGGCGCCCUGAGUGAGGAAGGGAAGCGUAGGGCGCCCUGGGAAGGGUAGCGGCCUGAAGAAGCUCAGAUCACCUCUGACAUGGGCUCCUUGGAUGUUGUCUGCAUCUCCUGGAGAUAGGAGCUGCCCGAGAUCAGAGGAUGGAGCCUCCAUGCCAACGGCUACCCUGGGGGCAAGAUGCCUCCCCCUCACCCUUUCCUGGGACCUCGCCGAGGAUCUGGCCACUUAGGACUUUGGGAACGGAGGCAGGUGGACAGGAAGGCACCCAGGAGAGCAUCCCAAGCCAACUGUGUGAGGAGCAGAGUCCUGUCUUCAGGUGGGGAUGUGCCUGCUUCAAGGGCAUGAGGCGGGGCAAGUUCAUCCUUAUUCAUCCAGAGAAUCCUGGGCAUAAAGGGGACUCAAGAAGCUGUCAAGUCCGUUCCCCUGUCUCUGAGGUCUGGGCUUCCUGGAGCUGGCCCGGUGGAGCUCUCAGAGGCCAGGGCCCUGCCUGAACCAUCCCUAGAUCCUGCUGCAGGGCCUAGCUUGAAGCCUGGGAACAGACCCAGCACCAGGAUUAAAAGGCAUCAGGUCCCAGGAUGGACACACCUCUCCCCGCUCUUUCCGCAACAGAGACAGGAAGGUGGUAUUGGCAAACUUCUCCCAAAGACGUGGUGGCUCACCCAGGAGAGCAGCCCCGGGCAGGCGGGGUCCCAGGCCUGGAGAGGUCUGUAGAGGUUGGCAGGACCAGGGAUUCCCAAACGCGUCAAGCAGCAGAAGCCUCAUAGAAGAUCAAAGUCCGCUUGGAAGUCUCGUGCGGAAGUGGCAUUGUACCACCAGACCGUGUGUGCGUUUAAAAACAGUGCUUCCCAAUUACCGCAGAAGAUGAACUACGAGGCAGGUUUAAAACUGUCAAAGCAGUUUAGAUUUCUAAGCCACAAGUGAUAAAAUAUUUAAAUGUGUUUGGUAAGUUCGAACAUAGAACAUUUACUUGUUGUAAAGGCACCGUGAUGACAGCCCUGAGGCGGCUUUUAUGAACACAAACACAAAAAGCAAAGUUGUAAUCAUUUAAGUCUCAGCAUCCAAUUUAUUUCUGUGUUACCUUUGCUUGCUCAGGUUUGAGAAGAAUCUGGGUUUGCAAGGAUAAGUGGCUUAAAGAGCUCACCUGGAAAUCUCAGGGUACUCUUAGAUUCAAGAAUUUGAUUCAUUCAUCCACCCAACAAAUAGUUAUUGAGUGUCUAGUAGGUGUCAGGCAUUCUGCUGAGGUUUGAACAAUAAGGAGGACUAUUUGUUUCAGUCUAAGUUACUAAGAUAACAAUUAUUCCCUUCGUCAUUGUGAGUGUAAGUCAAAUGAAAAGAUUCAAGCUUAUAAUAAGCACCACUUCUCUCUGUAGUAUCCUAUUAUGAUAUUGCAACAGGCGUGUGCAACUGCUUAACAGAGAGGCUCAUGC